AAGUGACCCCAUGACAGUAAGUCAGGGUAAUAUGUGCUUAGUUGCUUUAUUUUGUCUUUGAGAGCACCACCUGUAUCUCAAAAACAAAAUCAAGAGCUUCACUGGCAUCCAGUCAUGAGUGUCAGCAGUGGGCAUUGCUGUGAUUUGUCUUCUCAUACAUCAGGAACUGUAUUUUUUGUCAAUGCAGCAAGCUACCUCUCCACAAAUUAACCCAGCACUCUUCGUGUAGGAACAAGCUGCAUUCAGCUGCCUAAAUUAGGUCUCAGGAUACCAGGAAAAUGUUGUCAUCUGGAUCUCAGGUUUCAGAUGAUUGUUUCACAAGGGAAAACCUACGAGGAAAAUAGCACUGUCCUCUAAGGAGAGAUUCCAGACCAAAAGGAUCUGCAACACUGGUUUGAGACAAAAUGUUAAUUAUGCUUUUAUUUUUUUGAAAGAAAGGAUGAGAAAGGACAGACCU